CAUGAAUGUGCAAAAAUCAAUGG
rnacentral:piRNA from 1 species